CCUGCUAUAUGCAAUGGCUAAGCCACAUGCUUACAAGGAUGGUCAACUGACCACUCUUUGUCGAAAAAUCACACUAUGUAUAUAGAUAAAAUAUUACGUUUUAAAAGUAUAUAAUACAUAUUGAACACUCUUAGUCGGGAUUUUGUUUCACUUCUUUCAAAUUUGAAUACCCUUGAGUAAAUUCCUACGUUCGCCACUGACCAUAUGUAUGGUGAAAUCAUAUUGAUAGUGCUAACUUUUUAUAUAUAUAAUGUAUAUAACUUAACCUCUUAUAAAAACAGGAUUCCUGCUCGUCAUACAUUAAUGUAUGCUACUAAACAUAUAUAUAGUAUUAUAUAUUACAAAUCUUGACUACCUGAGCUAGCAGGAUCUGCAACGCAGAAAUCUUGCAAUGGACUAGGCUCGAAACCAGUGACAAGGCAGCAGAAACUCAGAGUUAAGGAGCUAAGAAACGAGAAUAAUUUGGCCAUUUCAACACAAAAACUUAAGAAUAAAACGAAAUAUAUAGCUUGGAAUAGCAGUAGAAAAAGUUUAAAAAUUAAGUGUAUUUGAUG
rnacentral:lncRNA from 1 species